ensembl:antisense
GACUGCGACUUAUGUCUAGAUUGGCCUAGACGUCCUAGUUGAGUCUUAGUCCUGGGAAGGGUCAGGCGGGUGGACGCUGAGUGAGGGACAGUGUUGUGUAGGACAAGGGUGUGGGCAGAUAGGGGCUAAAUGCUUGGGACGGUCAGCGAGAACCGCGUAUCCGCUCCGCCGAGGCAGGGCAUGAACCAAAGAGCGACAACAGACUAACUACCAGGGGGAACCACGGGCAGGAUGGGCAAGGAAGCAGAGGACACGACACUCUUACUUUUGGGGCAGGGCCAGGAAAGGCCACCAAGACCGGCUACCGUGACACAACUCUUUAUCUGAUUCAGUGGGUGGCUCUGAAAAGAGCCUUUUUGGGAGCUCGCGGGGGUUAUAUCACAGAGACGCGGGCCGACGCGAGCAGUGGCCUCACUUGCCCUUCGCCUUAUGGUGGCUCUCCGUCUUCUUGGGCAGCAGCACGGNNNNNNNNNNNNNNNNNNNNNNNNNNNNNNNNNNNNNNNNNNNNUGCCCUUGCGCAGCAGCCGGUGCACACGCCCCACCGGGAACUGUAGCCCGGCCCGGGAAGACCGCGACUUGGCCUUGGCGCGGGCCUUGCCUCCUUGCUUGCCACGACCGGACAUCACGAAAGCGCAAACAGACGAACGGCCACAACCAGGAAACGGUACUCCGGCGCCGACGCCUCACCCUUUUAUAGACGCAGACCCGAUUGUCCGCCCGACGCUCUCAUUGGCUCACACGCGUCCUGACGCCGUGGCCAAUAGGAGCGCGCGGACAGAAGCCUCUCAUUUACAUAAGACCGGCUCCCUCGCCCCGGCGCCGCCCUGGAUGCGGCCGUCGUUGCGACACUCCGCGGGUCGCCGGGCGGCUGGGCCUGCUCGCUGUUUCUCCUGCUGAGGAAGCUAACAGGAAUAGAGCCGGUAGCACGCGUAAACUUGGCCACAGGGCAUGGUGUACCAGGUGUAGGUGACUGGCACAGGCUGUGAGUUCUUUCCUCAGCUCCAUCUUUGUGCCCAAACUGGCGAGUCGUCCCGGCAGAGCCAGGCAGCCUUACCCUGUUUCCUGUAUGAAACCACCCACGGUGUCUCUGCUGCUUCCUGGGUUUUUUGUUUUUUUGUUUUUUUCUCUUCUACCUCCCAUUGACAUUAGAAAUCAUUUCUACUCAAGUUACAUGUGCCCUUGAAUGAGGAGUAUUAAGUGUAGGGGUAUCUUUCGACUUUGCAGGGGAGUUACAUAAAAUUAGUGUUAAUAUAUUGUCAGAAUGUAGGAAAGCAUUAGGCAGUCCAUUUAUUAAAGUAUCAGCAUCGGAGGCGUCUGUGAAGUAACUUGUCUUUUGGGUCAGAAAUUGCUUAACUUGGAUCUUGUUAUUUUUUAGUGCAGUUUUCAGUUUACAUACGGUGACUAAAUUUCCUGUUUCAGGUCACAAGAUUUAAGAGGGAUUUACGUACAGCUUGUUAAAGAUUGAAGUCUUAAUGGCACUUUGUAUGUUAUUUCAUUGUAGUUUGGCAUAUUCUGGGAUGUAGGUCAAUGGCACAGUACUUUCCUAGUUAUAUACGAGGUCUUAAGCACCACACCAGAAAUUCAAUCAGAAUUGUUUAGCCACACAGACAUUGUUGCUUGUUUUCUGUUUGCCUUAGUUUCACUCCCCCCACCCCCUGUUUCCCUGAGUGUCUCCCACCUGCCUUUGCUGCUCUUCAGUCAGCUCUGCCUCUCCUUUGGCCCUGUCACAUUGCUAUUCCCAUAGUGUCAAUGCUCUUCUCUCAUCCCUGCAGAUUGGGUCCCAGGCUACCUUGGGUAUUUCUGCUCCAAGUUACCACAUGCUUCUAAAAACAGAAAGAGAUACACUUGAGCCAGACUCUUGUAUAAUUAACUCCCAGGGAACGUCCUAAACAAGUAUCUACCCAAGGGUAUGGAAGUGGUUUGGCUCCACACUGAGCUGCUUCGGGAACAUUGUCCCUAAAGAAGCAGGCUCUUCUGAAAAACAUAAAUAGGUUAGCUGAAAGCUGACUGUAAGUGUGGUGUCUCUGUCUUCGCUUGAUGUCUGUCUCCUUUGGCUAAAGGCAGAGUGAAGUUACUGUUUUACCUUUCACUUGCAUCAUAGCAAAUGAGGGCCGUUACCCACGAGGUCAGGGCCACUCCCUAGAGUACAAGUGAGAGUCAGAGUGAUAUCUUCCCGAAUCUUGCAGGUUCAAACCGUAGCACUGACCAGAGAACCAUGCAUCUGCCUCCUAGGAUUCCUUAAUUUUGCUAACAUCUUGCCUGCCCAGGUUCCUCCUCUACUUAAGGCUUCAAGCUCAUUCAUGUCAAUAUCUGUAGAUAGACAGAUUUUCGGGGGGUGGGGUUUGCUGGGCCUAUAUUCUUCUCAAUAUAGCUUCUUGACUAAAUCUCUGAUUUUUCUUUUAGACACGUGGUUGAGCCUUGCCUUAGGGUGUCUACAGCCCAAUCCUUUACCCUCAAACCUUUGGCUACUUGUUCAUUUUGUUGCAUAUCAUGAGGACACUGGCAUUGGUUUACAACUUCAGGCUUUGUGGACAGGCUGAAGUGAAAGCUAUGUUGGUUGACAGUACUGAUUUUGUUACCCUACUAGGUGAAGGAAUAAACCUUGGAACUAA